GCACUUGCGGCCUGAGAGUACGAAGGGGACGCCUCGCUCCAGCUCCAGGGCCGGAGGACAAGUCAGCGGGGGCUCAGCGCAGAGCGGCAGGAGAGACCCAGGCUGAGCAAAGGCAGGACGUCAGUCGGUGCUUUGCCAGAUUCCAACAGGCAUCCUGGUAUUUUUGUGGCUCGAGUUGAACGAACAAGCGUCAGCUCUUCUUCAAAGAGGCGGUCACACCCACCCCGUUUGGUGCUGACCCUGCGAAGGCAUCAGAAGGAAAAAGAGGUCUUACUACCAAUUACCUCAUGCUCGGUAGGAUGACACAAUCAUUCCAUGACUGCGACUCUGCAGGCUGGCCCAAGUAUGCUUCUCGUCCUCUCCCCUGUUCCCGAAGUCUCCCGCUACCAGCCUAUCCGUCAUCCGCAUUCCUGCCUCUAGCCUCAUGCCAAAGGAGACAUUCCAGCCCAGAGGAUAAACAUGGCAGUUUGAUACUGAUUUGUUGUACAUUGCUUUAAACGAUUGUAUUUCUUGAGGAUGGGGAAGAAAACUGAAGAAUCUGAAACAAAGUCUUUCCCACUUGCAUUGGAAUAGCAUCAUUUCUGGGAGGCACAGAGGCAGAGUUCAGCUAGACCACGAACCACACCAUGUAUAACCAGGAUUGGAGGCAGACGCUCCUUCCCGUGCCAUUUGGUGUACCCAGGUAUCUCCCCAGCGUGACAUCAAAGCCCAGCAGUUGUACAAGCCUUUGUGUUUACACAAGGACUGUUCCUCGUAACUAUCUAAAGGAAACACCUCAUGGAGAAUUGGAGACAAAUGUAUGUUAUUUUCAAUAUGGAAACACAUACAGGCAUAGUGCCUCUCGAAGUGUCCUUCAAU